UUGAGAAUGAGCACAGAUUCACCAGUCUGGUCACUGGGAUCUCUUGCAAUGCGUUUUACAUGAAUGGCAGAAGGCGAUUCCAUAAAAGGAUCAGUGGUGAUAACAGCAAGUUUAUCACCAACAGAGAAAUCCACAGCCCUGGCAGGCGAAUCAAAGUUAAAGGAGUACAACUGAGUUCCAGUUUGAACAUCCCACAACUUUGCUGUCUGGUCUGCACUUCCAGUAAUAAGGCGCAUCGAAUCUCUUGAGACAUCGCAGCACCAAACGGCGCCGUUGUGGCCGCGGUAAGUACCCAAACGUUCGCCGUUGUCGGCGAACCAGACGGUGGGAGUGUGGUCUUUGGCGCAGGAGAACAAGAGAUCGCCUUCUCUGUUAUACUUCAAAAACGUUAAGGGCCUUUCAUGCCCUUUCAUC
rnacentral:misc_RNA from 1 species